UUCAGAGGGCAGGAGCAAGUAGCUAGCCACUCUACAAAGUGAGACACAUAUAAAAGCUGUCUACUCUUUGACCCAGGAACAUGGGGUCAUGCUUUCCUGAACAUAAUUGGGGCAACUAUCCAAAGCAGUGCUGUCGGAGAGGAGUGGAAUACAACUGGGAUAUGAGGACUUGUAUGCUCAGCACCAUUCUCACAGAUUUUAGAGAUGGAAGAGACGUACUAUCCAGCCCAUCUCCCUGCAAAUGUAGGCUAUAUAUAGCACUUUCAAAUA